AACGAACGCUGGCGGCAUGCCUAACACAUGCAAGUCGAACGAGACCUUCGGGUCUAGUGGCGCACGGGUGCGUAACACGUGGGAAUCUGCCCUUGGGUUCGGAAUAACAGUUGGAAACGACUGCUAAUACCGGAUGAUGACGUAAGUCCAAAGAUUUAUCGCCCAAGGAUGAGCCCGCGUCGGAUUAGCUAGUUGGUGGGUAAAGGCCUACCAAGGCGACGAUCCGUAGCUGGCUGAGAGGAUGAUCAGCCACACUGGGACUGAGACACGGCCCAGACUCCUACGGGAGGCAGCAGUGGGGAAUAUUGGACAAUGGGCGAAAGCCUGAUCCAGCAAUGCCGCGUGAGUGAUGAAGGCCUUAGGUUGUAAACCUCUUCAGCUCCGACGAAGCGGAAGUGACGGUAGGAGCAGAAGAAGCACCGGCCAACUACGUGCCAGCCGCCGCCGUAA
rnacentral:rRNA from 1 species